ACAAUAUUCUUUCGAUCCUGGAUGGAUAGCAACGAACGUUUCCUAAAGGCACGCUUUUUUUUUUCUUGGACUAACCAGUCAAUCAGAUUGAUUCCCCAUCUUCCAUAUCCUUUCUGUUUUUAUCGCUCUGCAGGCGGCGGCGGCGGUUCCCGGUGACCGUUGGCUUGUGACGGAGGACACCGAAGGGGUGAGCCGACGACCUGAUUCUGCGUCCCCUGAAGGGCUUGCUCCGACGACGCCGGACUGAUCAGCCUACCGCCGGUGACGGUGGCUUCAGAAUCCACGGCCAGCCACCAUUGUUUCAAAGAAUCCUGAAAACAUGAAGCGGAAGGGCAAGAUGCCAGAAAAAGUCAGGAGUAUCAAAUUCACUGGAUCACAAUCCGAGUGUGAGAUACUGCUUUCCGACUCCUAGCCAUCGGCUCGACAACCCCCUGCCGGCACCAAGCGAGCCCGACCUGCAGAACCAACCAAAGAUGACGGCGCCAAAAAUAUUAGACGCAAGAAGCAAGCGGAUGCAUCACAAAUGGAUGCUGAGUUGGUAGAGUCCCACGUGAACAAACAGACGAUUUACACCCGGUGCAGCCCGAAGUUUGUGUUCGAUGCUUGUGCCACGUUGUCACCUUCACAUCGCCAAGCAUUGUCAGGGCUCGGACUGGGUCAACUAGCAGAUAUGACGCUUGAUGGUUUUGAGCAGCCUGACCUGAUCCGUUGGCUCAUGGAUCGGACUGACCCGAAAACAAUGACCAUACAAAUUUCUGAAAACAAGAAGAUUGCCAUAACACCAUGGAAGAUCAGUAUUGUCUUGGGCACCCCUUUUGGUGGUGAACCGUUACAAUAUCCUGAUAAAAAAUGCAUGGCAGCUGCAUUUGCACAGUUGGCCAAUGAGCUUGGGGUGCCUCCAAGCUCUAAUAUUUCUGUACCAAUGUUAAAAAGUAAGCUAGAACAUCGGAAAGAUGAUCCCACAGCUGUUCGGUUCUUCAUCAUGAUCUUGACCAACAAGUUGCUGCUCCCAUCAACUAGUUUCUACAUCACAAAGAAGGACGCAUGGCUUGGCAUGGAUCUAUCUAGGGUGGCGAGGAUCGAUUAGUCAAAGGCUGUUUUUGAUUUAUUACGUGAUAGUCUGGUCUUAUGGCACAAGACUGAUAGACACCAAUCUUCGCAAACUUACAUAUGCUCAUCCGUGGCGUCUCUUGUUGUAUGCAUUUAUUUUUCCAUAGUUCAUUAUUUUUCAGCAACCACUUCACUGAUCAUGCCAUAUUGGGUGCCAAAAUAUGAAUUCUCUCAUCAUGACAGUAUUAUAACUGUUUUUCAUUAAUCUUUUGUAAUGGACAGCUGUUGUACAUUGACAACCUUGAUGUCAUCAAACUAGGAUUGACCAUCGAUCGUCUGCAUACACCACGUAUUCAGUUGUACACAAAGGAUCUGGUGGAGGCUAUAUCUCAGGGAGACCGUGUGAAGGAUGAAGAAGAUAAAAUUGUCUUUGGACAGCUCAAUGGAAGAAUUUAUGCCAUUUCCUUUUU